AAUACGAUUCAACGACGUUCAAAUGUUAUUACGUUCAACCGCUCACGGAAUAUUAUUACCAUUGAUAACUGACGAGACAUGAGACAAAAGUCAUGCGACACGUCAAAUAUUCUAUCCUCGAUUAAGUUAUUGGUAAUGAAAAUAACCAGAAGACGACCAUUAGGAAUAUUAAUGACCCACUAAGUGGCUGUUAUUGUCCAUCAUGAUGUAUUAGACAGCAUGAUGUAGAAACGAACGCGACAUUUGACGUGGCAUACAAGGAAGAGGAAUGAAGAGAUUUCAUGACGAUAGCAGUAGUUUUCGACGGGCCGACAAGGUUAACAAGAAAAAGAAGAACUCUCGGAAAAUUGCAUAACUACGACCUUCUUUAAGUUUUAUGCGACGAAGCUGGUAUAAUACAAAUAAUAUCCAUCUUCGCGUCAUGCCGACGUUUAAGAGAAGACUAUAAAAUACUCGCAUUUACUGUCGCGGUCUAACUAUAGCGGACGACUUGGCCAAAUUACGUUACGUGUACCGUAAACUCGAGGUGUUUUUGGUUGAAAUCAUAAAGUUCAAACACAGAUCGCGAAAUCAAAAGAAGACAAUAUUUUCGAGAGUAUAUUUCGAGGAGGUUUUAUACCGCAGUUUGUCUAGAAUAUUUUUCAAAAAAAAGUUACAGU